rnacentral:rRNA from 1 species
CCUACGGGAGGCAGCAGUGGGGAAUAUUGCGCAAUGGGCGAAAGCCUGACGCAGCGACGCCGCGUGAGGGAUGAAGGUCUUCGGAUCGUAAACCUCUGUCAGCAGGGAAGAAAGGUCACUGUGCUAAUCAGCAGUGAAUUGACGGUACCUGCAAAGGAAGCACCGGCUAACUCCGUGCCAGCCGCCGCGGUAAUACGGAGGGUGCGAGCGUUAAUCGGAAUUACUGGGCGUAAAGCGCUCGUAGGCGGUAUGUCAAGUCAAGGGUGAAAUCCCCGCGCUCAACGUGGGAACUGCCGUUGAAACUGGCAAACUGGAGUGGGUGAGAGGAUAGUGGAAUUCCAGGUGUAGGAGUGAAAUCCGUAGAUAUCUGGAGGAACAUCAGUGGCGAAGGCGACGAUCUGGCACAUAACUGACGCUGAGGAGCGAAAGCGUGGGUAGCAAACAGGAUUAGAUACCCCUGUAGUC